AAGCAUGCUAUUCAAAGGACCUAGGCUUAUGUGUACCUUGGGUUCUUGAAGCUCAUGCAAGAAAAUGGGGUGGUCUUUGACUGCUGUGGUCUGUUUUGUGCCAUUGGCAGCCACUCAACUGCCCUACAUGG
ensembl:snoRNA small nucleolar RNA SNORA44